GCCGAUGUAGCUCAAUCGGAAGAGCAACUGACUUGUAAUCAGUAGGUUGCCAGUUCGAGUCUGGCCAUCGGCU
rnacentral:tRNA from 1 species